GACGAACGCUGGCGGCGUGCUUAACACAUGCAAGUCGAACGGAAAGGCCCUGCUUUUGUGGGGUGCUCGAGUGGCGAACGGGUGAGUAACACGUGAGUAACCUGCCCUUGACUUUGGGAUAACUUCAGGAAACUGGGGCUAAUACCGGAUAGGAGCUCCUGCUGCAUGGUGGGGUGGAAGUUCGGCGGUUGGGAGUGGACUCGCGGCUUAUCAGCUUGUUGGUGGGGUAGUGGCUUACCAAGGCUUUGACGGGUAGCCGGCCUGAGAGGGUGACCGGCCACAUUGGGACUGAGAUACGGCCCAG
rnacentral:rRNA from 1 species